UACAUGCAAGUCGAGCGGACAGAAGGGAGCUUGCUCCCGGAUGUUAGCGGCGGACGGGUGAGUAACACGUGGGUAACCUGCCUGUAAGACUGGGAUAACUCCGGGAAACCGGAGCUAAUACCGGAUAGUUCCUUGAACCGCAUGGUUCAAGGAUGAAAGACGGUUUCGGCUGUCACUUACAGAUGGACCCGCGGCGCAUUAGCUAGUUGGUGAGGUAACGGCUCACCAAGGCGACGAUGCGUAGCCGACCUGAGAGGGUGAUCGGCCACACUGGGACUGAGACACGGCCCAGACUCCUACGGGAGGCAGCAGUAGGGAAUCUUCCGCAAUGGACGAAAGUCUGACGGAGCAACGCCGCGUGAGUGAUGAAGGUUUUCGGAUCGUAAAGCUCUGUUGUUAGGGAAGAACAAGUGCAAGAGUAACUGCUUGCACCUUGACGGUACCUAACCAGAAAGCCACGGCUAACUACGUGCCAGCAGCCGCGGUAAUACGUAGGUGGCAAGCGUUGUCCGGAAUUAUUGGGCGUAAAGGGCUCGCAGGCGGUUUCUUAAGUCUGAUGUGAAAGCCCCCGGCUCAACCGGGGAGGGUCAUUGGAAACUGGGAAACUUGAGUGCAGAAGAGGAGAGUGGAAUUCCACGUGUAGCGGUGAAAUGCGUAGAGAUGUGGAGGAACACCAGUGGCGAAGGCGACUCUCUGGUCUGUAACUGACGCUGAGGAGCGAAAGCGUGGGGAGCGAACAGGAUUAGAUACCCU
rnacentral:rRNA from 1 species